GAUGAACGCUAGCGGCAGGCUUAAUACAUGCAAGUCGUGGGGCAGCAUGUCCCGCAGCAAUGCGGGAUGAUGGCGACCGGCAAACGGGUGCGGAACACGUACACAACCUUCCUUUAAGUGGGGAAUAGCCCAGGGAAACUUGGAUUAAUACCCCGUAAUCUAUAGAAGCGGCAUCGCUUUUAUAUUAUAGCCGCAAUGCGCUUGAAGAUGGGUGUGCGGCUGAUUAGGUAGUUGGCGGGGUAAUGGCCCACCAAGCCGACGAUCAGUAACUGGUGUGAGAGCACGACCAGUCACACGGGCACUGAGACACGGGCCCGACUCCUACGGGAGGCAGCAGUAAGGAAUAUUGGUCAAUGGACGCAAGUCUGAACCAGCCAUGCCGCGUGGAGGAUGAAGGUCCUCUGGAUUGUAAACUUCUUUUAUCUGGGAAGAAAUCCAUUUUUUCUAAAAUGGUUGACGGUACCAGAUGAAUAAGCACCGGCUAACUCCGUGCCAGCCGCCGCAGUAAUAC
rnacentral:rRNA from 1 species